AUUGAACGCUGGCGGAAUGCUUUACACAUGCAAGUCGAACGGCAGCACGGACUUCGGUCUGGUGGCGAGUAGCGAACGGGUGAGUAAUACAUCGGAACGUACCUUAUCGUGGGGGAUAACGCAGCGAAAGCUGUGCUAAUACCGCAUACGCCCUGAGGGGGAAAGCGGGGGAUCGCAAGACCUCGCGCGAUUAGAGCGGCCGAUGCCUGAUUAGCUUGUUGGUGGGGUAAAAGCCCACCAAGGCGACGAUCAGUAGCUGGUCUGAGAGGACGAUCAGCCACACUGGGACUGAGACACGGCCCAGACUCCUACGGGAGGCAGCAGUGGGGAAUUUUGGACAAUGGGGGCAACCCUGAUCCAGCAAUGCCGCGUGAGUGAAGAAGGCCUUCGGGUUGUAAAGCUCUUUUGUCAGGGAAGAAACACCGGCUCUAACACAGUCCGGGGAUGACGGUACCUGAAGAAUAAGCAUCGGCUAACUACGUGCCAGCCGCCGCAGUAA
rnacentral:rRNA from 1 species